rnacentral:rRNA from 1 species
AACGAACGCUGGCGGUAUGCUUAACACAUGCAAGUCGAACGAGUAUGGCCUAGCUUGCUAGGACCCAGCUAGUGGCAAACGGGUGAGUAACGCGUGGGAAACUACCUUUUAGUAUGGGAUAACUAUUGGAAACGAUAGCUAAUACCGUAUACGCCCUCCGGGGGAAAGAUUUAUCGCUAAAAGAUGUGCCCGCGUUAGAUUAGCUUGUUGGUGAGGUAAUGGCUCACCAAGGCGACGAUCUAUAGCUGGUUUGAGAGGAUGAUCAGCCACACUGGAACUGAGACACGGUCCAGACUCCUACGGGAGGCAGCAGUGGGGAAUAUUGGACAAUGGGCGAAAGCCUGAUCCAGCAAUACCGCGUGAGUGAUGAAGGCCCUAGGGUUGUAAAACUCUUUCAGUAGGGAAGAUAAUGACGGUACCUACAGAAGAAGCACCGGCUAACUCCG